UUGGUGUAAAACCUAAUACCUGUCAAAAAUAUUUUUUCGGUUGGAUUCGUUUUUCUUGUAUAUCUCGAAACAAGCUUUUUGCGCUUCUUGCACUAAGCUUCUCAUAACACGUCAUAGUAUUCGGGUAACUACACCUCCAUUGCGAGUUCUUCACCGUAACACUAGCGGUAAACGUACCUCCGAAAAGGAUAAACUAUUUCGAGCUAAAGAAUUACAUAUCUCAAGCCGAACAAAAUAUCGCUCUUCACCGUCAAUACGGAAAGCAUUCCAAGCCGACAAUCAUAUUGAAAAAGAAAUUGGCCAUACUCCCAGUGAAUACAAUAUACGAACCUAACGGCUUACUGUAUACGAAUAGCGGGCUUUUCAAGAUUUCCAAAGAAUCGACUGAGGUAAACAAAUCCGAUCUUGCAAUGUACAGGACGGCAAUCCGAUCGAAACCUCACUGCAACAUAAUGAUAAAUCAUUGGACAAUCUGCACAACAUCCCAGUAAAGUUCAGUCGGAAAUGAACUGGAAUUCUGGCUGGUUCCAAUUCGUAUACGGGCUCCAGUGACACAACCGAUUCUAACUAGAAUCGAUUGUGUCACUGGAGCCGGAAUAUGAACUGAUACCAGCCAGAAUUCCGGUCAUUUCCGGCUGAGCUUAACUGGGAUACGUUAACAAUUGGUGAACAACGGCAUGGUGUCGUAGCAAGGAAUCUUGGACAUCUAUCGCUAGGACACCGGAGUCUAAGUCUGCCAUGUGACGUAUGCCUUCCGGCUUAAUGAAAUGACAAUCCAGUUGAAGAUUGAGAAGGUUACUGAUUAUCCCAAUAACUUGCGAAUACACUCACAAGAAUGGCUUGCUUUCGCAUUUUACUAGAAACAACGCAAAACGUUCAGUAUAAGUUAGUCAUCGAUUCAUGGAUAUCGGCCGAACAUAUUACUGUGGUCGAACAUAGAGUUAGGUACGUCCGAAUACUCACAAGUGAUCCACGCGAUUACCUUAGUAGAAGCACUUAUGUCCCGCCCUUAAAUAUCAGAGGAAAAUUCCACCAAAAUCUUUCUUGCUUUGAAACCUCCUAACCAACCAUAGUAGAAUGGUAUCCUGCUGUGGAAGCAGUUCGACCCAAUGACAAGGAAAUCAAUCCCACACAGGGCUUCAACUGAAAAACCGUUGAGACGCACACAUUUUGACGAUGAAACUACGCAGUACAUAUGAUAAACGCUUACACUAGUCAAUGUUCUGAUGACCUAGCUCAAUAUACUUCAUAUGGUCUUCGGCAGCAAAGAAAUCGCAUGGGAAAAUAGGGCGAUACAAGGGUGCACAUCGGAAUCGAAGAACUGUUUGAAAAGAAACCAUCACUGCCAAACUCAGUAAUCCAAGAACCUGAAGUUAUUGACUACGUGUUUUGGGUGUUAUUGCUACCUUAUGUACUACGUACGAGUAUGGUUCGGCUUCCAGUGUGGAAAUUAUCAGCUCCUGAUUACCACCGGCCUGAUCUUUUGUACUGUACGCUAACAUACACGAAACGGCGCUCCUUCAAGGGCAUGGGAUAUGCUAGUUUCAGUUAACGGCUUCUACAAGAGUUGAAGGAAGCGAUAAAUCUGAAACCGGCACAAUUUCGUUCAAUAACAAAACUCAAGGGUAUUACCAGUCAGUAAGUUGUGACGCCAUGAAACACUGGUGCUACCUUGAAGGCAGGUUGACGUUUCAGCACCAACGACGAUUGAGUGCCAAGGUGACCCAGCGAAGGAAACAGGAACGAGAAAGCUGAUUAUGAAGGACAAAACCCAAUACAUCAAAGAUUACUAGAACUAAGAUGCAGUGAACUCUACGUCAAACUGGGGACGGCAUGCAAUAGUUGAAUUCGUCAUUUUAGUCGAUGAAAGACCGAGAAGCAAAACAACUCACGCCCGCCUGCGUCACCAAUGAAUAAUCAGUCAAAGAAUCAGGUAUCUUGGAAUUCAUUCCAAUAUCAACAGACACCAGCGGUGAGAACUAUCCAGUUGUAACAACAUAGUAUCGAGUUCUACUCCACCAGCCGACCUUCGGCUAAUUCUCAAGCCGGUGGCAUUUUGCUAGUUCAUAACUAUACACAA